rnacentral:rRNA from 1 species
ACGGGUGAGUAACACGUGAGCAACCUACCUUCGAGUUCGGGAUAGCCCUGGGAAACCAGGAUUAAUACCGGAUGUGGUCACAACGGGACAUCCCGAUGUGAAAAAAGGCGCAAGCCGCUCGAUGACGGGCUCGCGGCCUAUUAGCUUGUUGGUGGGGUAACGGCCUACCAAGGCGACGAUGGGUAGCUGGUCUGAGAGGACGAUCAGCCACACUGGGACUGAGACACGGCCCAG